rnacentral:tRNA from 1 species
UUAUUUAUAGUAUACAAGUACAUAUCAUUUACAAUGAUAAAGCCUAUUCAUUAGUGGAUAAU